rnacentral:pre_miRNA from 1 species
AAAAUACUCCCUCCGUCCCNNNNUUCUUGUCUUAGAUUUGUCUAAAUAUAAAUGUAUCUAGUCAUGUUUUAGUAUUUAGGUACAUUCAAUUUUAGACAAACCUAAGACAAGAA